rnacentral:rRNA from 1 species
GUGUCAGCAGCCGCGGUAAUACGAAGGGGGCUAGCGUUGUUCGGAAUUACUGGGCGUAAAGCGCGCGCAGGCGGUCCUUUAAGUCGGGGGUGAAAGCCCAGAGCUCAACUCUGGAACUGCCUUCGAAACUAGAGGACUUGGGUACGGGAGAGGUGAGUGGAAUUCCGAGUGUAGAGGUGAAAUUCGUAGAUAUUCGGAAGAACACCAGUGGCGAAGGCGGCUCACUGGCCCGUUACCGACGCUCAGGCGCGACAGCGUGGGGAGCAAACAGGAUUAGAUACCCUGGUAGUCCACGCCGUAAACGAUGGAUGCUAGCCGUUGGUAAGCAUGCUUAUCAGUGGCGCAGCUAACGCAUUAAGCAUCCCGCCUGGGGAGUACGGCCGCAAGGUUGAA